rnacentral:rRNA from 1 species
UACGUAGGGUGCGAGCGUUGUCCGGAAUUAUUGGGCGUAAAGAGCUCGUAGGCGGUUUGUCGCGUCUGCUGUGAAAACCUAAGGCUCAACCUUGGGCUUGCAGUGGGUACGGGCAGACUAGAGUGCGGUAGGGGUGACUGGAAUUCCUGGUGUAGCGGUGGAAUGCGCAGAUAUCAGGAGGAACACCGAUGGCGAAGGCAGGUCACUGGGCCGCAACUGACGCUGAGGAGCGGAAAGCAUGGGGAGCGAACAGG